rnacentral:rRNA from 1 species
CCCAGCUCGUCAUGCUAGAGCACUUUUUUAAUGUGCUCCCCAACGAGAAGGCGACGACGCAUUCGUAUGUCAAUCCAUAUCAACUUUCGAUGUCAUUUACUGCGCCUACCAUGGUGACCACGGGUAAUGGGGAAUCAGGGUUCGAUUCCGUACAGGGACCCUGACAAACGGCUACCACAGGCAAUGAAGGCAGCAAGGGCGCAAAUGACCCACUCCCGAUGCGGGAAGGUAGUGACG